GAUGAACGCUGGCGGCGUGCUUAACACAUGCAAGUCGAGCGAGAAGUUUUGAAAAGAUUCUUCGGAUGAAAUUUAAAAUGGAAAGCGGCGGACGGGUGAGUAGCGCGUAGGCAACCUGCCCCAUACAAAGGGAUAGCAUUUGGAAACGAAUAUUAAUACCUUAUGAAACUUAACUAGUGCAUGCUAGGUAGGUCAAAGAUUUAUCGGUAUGGGAUGGGCCUGCGUCUGAUUAGCUAGUUGGUGAGGUAACGGCUCACCAAGGCGACGAUCAGUAGCCGACCUGAGAGGGUGAACGGCCACAUUGGAACUGAGACACGGUCCAAACUCCCACGGGAGGCAGCAGUGGGGAAUAUUGCACAAUGGGGGAAACCCUGAUGCAGCAACGCCGCGUGAACGAUGAAGGCCUUUGGGUCGUAAAGUUCUGUUCUAGGUGAUGAAAACUGACAGUAACCUAGGAGAAAGCCCCGGCUAACUCCGUGCCAGCAGCCGCGGUAAUACGGAGGGGGCAAGCGUUAUCCGGAAUUAUUGGGCGUAAAGGGUACGUAGGUGGCCUUUUAAGCGUAGGGUAUAAGGCAAUGGCUCAACCAUUGUUCGCCCUAUGAACUGGAAGGCUUGAGUGCAGGAGAGGAAAGCGGAAUUCCUAGUGUAGCGGUGGAAUGCAUAGAUAUUAGGAGGAACAUCAGCGGCGAAGGCGGCUUUCUGGACUGCAACUGACACUGAGGUACGAAAGCGUGGGGAGCAAACAGG
rnacentral:rRNA from 1 species